UGAUGGAUGGAGGAUGGAUGGAUGAUGGAUGGAUGAUGGAUGGAAUCCAUGGAUGGACAGACAGACAGAUGGAAGCCCCAGCUGCACUCCUGUUGUGCGGGGUGGCCUCUGCUGUUCCCAUCAUCUGUGAAAGGCCAUAAAUGACUUUUCCAAAGGCUCCCAAUGGCGCUGAUGUUUUUCCCUUCUCCCUGAUGGAUGGGGAGGAUCAGAGCAAUCACGGCUGGGAUUUUUCCGAUGGAAAAUGGGAUUCACAUCUGCCUGAGCACCGCCGGCAGCAGAGCCCGUGGCCACCGAGGCAGAGCCGCGGCUUUUUCCCGGGAUGUGGAUUUUCAGCGUGGGGAUAACGCUGUGGAAUUUAUUUUAACGUAAUAAAUUGAUUAACACAAAUUUCGGAGCCAGCGAGCAGACAGAGCUCCGGCUGUGACCAAGCACCGAGCUUCCCUGACGUGGAGCCAAAUUCCCGGCUGGAUUUCAGGCUGGGUUUAGCGGACACGCACCGGGCCAGCGGGACAAGCCCCGCUUGGGAUUCUGAAGCUGGCGGGGGAAUUUCCGUGGAUUUCCCCAGCGGAGAAAGCCGUGGGUGCUGCCACAAUAGAGGAUCCUUAUCAGCGGAUUCCAGCGGGCUCCGCUCCGCGCCCCUUGGCAUUUCCAUGAGAAUGGGAAAGGUUUCCUGAGCCCGUCUGGAACAAACAUCGCUGCGGACAGGAAUUUAUCCGGCACCAACAGAAAGGGAAGCUCCGCGCGGCCUUUCCUGCCGGGGGAAUCCUGGGGAGAAGCAUCCGAGAAAUCCACAAGGAUGUCAAGGACAGCGACAGCGACAGCGACAGCGACAGCGACAGCGACACUUUCCUUUUGUUCACCGCAGCCCGGGAGGUUGGAGCCUCCCCUCCCCGGCUCUGCCGCAAUUCCCGGGCCGUGCCUGGACAGGAUCCCGGUUUUGACUCCGAAAUUGCUGCGGUUCUGUUCAGCUCGGCUCCUCUCCUCCCUCUUUAUCCUCCCCGCGGCCCGCGGAAAGCGCUCAGUAAAUAAUUCAUUGCCGCAAUUCAUUAUCGCCGCUCAUUAUCGCCCUGCUCGAUCACAAUCCAUUAUCACAAUUCAUUAUCGCAAUUGCUGCAGCCCAGGAUCGGCCUCGGAUGUCCCGGGCUGAUUUUAAAACCAGGAGAGAGGUUUGUCCCUGGUUUGUUGAGCUCGGGGAGAGGCUGGAGGUGGGAAGGAGCAGCCUGGAGCUGCUGUGAAGAGCGGAGGCGCCGCGUGGCCAUAAAAAUCAGUGACAGCG